GGGUUUGCUUAUGCCUUAGCUGUAAGGACUUGACUUGUUCAUCUAUCUUCCUGUUCUCCACCAGUAACGGAAUGAACAUGGUCUAUUGUGGCUGAAUGGUUGCCAUGAGUUUUCCAGGAUGUAUGGCCAUGUUCCAGAAGCAUUCCCUCUUGACGUUUCGCCCACAUCUAUGCCAGCAUCCUCAGA
rnacentral:lncRNA from 11 species